AUUCGAUUAACGCGAAGAACCUUACCUGGCCUUGACAUCCAGAGAACUUAGCAGAGAUGCUUUGGUGCCUUCGGGAACUCUGAGACAGGUGCUGCAUGGCUGUCGUCAGCUCGUGUUGUGAAAUGUUGGAUUAAGUCCCGCAACGAGCGCAACCCUUAUCCUUUGUUGCCAGCGGGUAAUGCCGGGAACUCAAAGGAGACUGCCGGUGAUAAACCGGAGGAAGGUGGGGAUGACGUCAAGUCAUCAUGGCCCUUACGGCCAGGGCUACACACGUGCUACAAUGGCGCAUACAAAGAGAAGCGACCUCGCGAGAGCAAGCGGACCUCAUAAAGUGCGUGUAGUCCGGAUCGGAGUCUGCAACUCGACUCCGUGAAGUCGGAAUCGCUAGUAAUCGUAGAUC
rnacentral:rRNA from 1 species